CGGAUUAGAUACCCUGGUAGUCCACGCCGUAAACGAUGCAUACUAGGUGUUGGCCCUUUUGGGUCAGUGCUGCAGUUAACGCAUUAAGUAUGCCACCUGGGGAGUACGUCGGCAACGAUGAAACUCAAAGGAAUUGACGGGGGCCCGCACAAGCGGUGGAGCAUGUGGCUUAAUUCGAUGCAACGCGAGGAACCUUACCUGGGCUAAAUCCACAGCGCUACCUCUGGAAACAGAGGGUUUCUU
rnacentral:rRNA from 1 species